UACAGCCAUAUCAUAUUGAAACACCAGUUCCUGUGUGAUCACUAAAGUUAAGCAACAUCAAGCCUGGUUAGUACCUAGAUGGGUGACCGCUUGGGAAUACCAGAUACUGUAAG